rnacentral:tRNA from 4 species
GCGAGAGUAACUCAGUGGUAGAGUGUCACUUUCCCAAAGUGAUGGUCGCGGGUUCGAAUCCCGUCUCUCGCUC